CUAAAGAAUGAGGCCCAAAAUCUGUUAUUAGUUUCAGGUUUCAAUCCACAUUUUCUUUCAAACCCAACCGACCCGUUAUUUAGCUCCAAAUACCCGAAUCCAAAUUAAAAAACCCACUUUUAACCGCCAUCCCCACUCCUCCCCAAACAACCACAGCCGCCGCCUCCGUCGCCGAUCGAGACGUCUAGUGUUCAAAUCCCCCUUCCUCAUUAUAACCAUCGAAUUAUAGAAAAAAGUUAGCUCACACGCAAUUUUGAUUCGCUGGAAGCUCCAAACCUUCAGUGAUGGGCAAGUCACGUUCACUACCAGAAUCGAUGUCUAAAGCAGACCUUAAACUCGAGAAGAAACACCAGUUUUAUACAAAGAUACUGUUGCCGCUUUGAGUGCCCAAAAGGCUAUUGAGAAGAAGAAGAAACUUUGAAGCUGACAGAAGAAAUUGAAAGCGUAUGAUCUCUCUUCCCUCUCAGAGUUCCUUCCUGAGUUGAAGACCCUAUGGCAACCAAGUCCUGCUGCUCUGUUCAAGCUGAAUUGUAAAUCUAUGCAAAAGUUAAUGGGAGUACUUGAAUUCCUGUUGCAAGCUUUAGAUUUCCUUUGCAUUGCGUUAUUUGUCUCAUGUAAUACUGGGUUCAUUGUCAUCAGCUUGAAGGAAUGAAAACAGUUGAGUACAGUUCUUAACCAUCCUGCUUUCCAGUUGGAUUCCCUGGCUGCCAUUCUUCAACACCUACAUAGCACACAACCGGUUACAGAUGAGAAACCAAAGAAAACAAAAAUGGAGGGAAGAAGAAAAAAGCAAAGAAAUGUAAGGCUUCAGAUGGACCUCAAUCUAUGGUUAUGUGAUUUGAAAGAUAAGUUUUUAUCAAUCUGCUUCUAUGAGCCAUAUUUGUUUAUAUCUGAUCCUCUAAUGCCUACAUUUUGAAUACGAGAUAUAUUCACCUGGUUAACAAGUC